rnacentral:sRNA from 1 species
CACUCUGAACCGGAACAGGAAGAGCGGCCGGCCGGUCCCCUGCCCGGAGGUAACCUCUGCGGAGGGCGCUCUCGUAGGGAUCGCUGCAUCAUUUGUUGAGUUGCCUUUGCCUUAAGUAGCGAGCAUUUGGAUGAGACUGGGACUUGAUUCCUUUUUUAAGGCCAGAGAAACCGAGUCUAAAGAGAUUCUUUUCCCCCCCACACUCAUUUUGCACAAAACUUUUUACUUGGAAUUUGUUUUUUGAGAUGGACGUCUCACUAUGCAGCUCUGACUGGCCUGCUCGCCAUGUCGACCAGGCUGUCCUGGAAAUCACAGAUAUCCUUUGUUUGACUCGAGAAUGCUGGGAUUACAGGACUGUAAAAGGCAGUGAAUAUGGAGUUCCCUACUCCCCAGUUGUGAGGAUAAAUGGCCAGGCGGGAGAGAUAACUCAGCACAGACCGAGACCUUAACAUACUGAAGGAUCAAAAUACUGAAGAGACAUUCUCUGGGCCUCAAUGCCAUCGCCUGUAUGUCUAGUGUGUGUCUUUACACUGUCUAAUAAGGUUCCACGAGUCGUAUGUCAGAUUAAAGAGUGGAAAUGCACAGAUGUGCAGCACAGCCAUCCUUUCUCAGGCCACUUCUGUUAAGAACCUCUCGAAAUGCAAGCUGGGUUGGCUGAACUCAUAUUUUAUAUCCUCUCCUAAGCUGUUUGUCAAGUAAUUACAGACUCCCGGGACUUCGGAAUCUAAAUCUACACACAUGUUCUGGUUUGAUCGCUACAGUGUUAGUGCCGGGAGGCAGGUGCUGUUAUCAAUGUCCUUAUCUUCAUAUUUAAAUGAGUGCCUGAGAAUUUCCUUCCCAUCGGAGAUCCUGAGGUGGUGACUACAAGUUUUCCAUUUUCCAUCCAACAGCUGAUUGUCGUUUCUAUAGGGCUGGGGGUGGAACCCAGGGCCUUGUGUACUAGGCAAGAGUUCUGUUACUGAGCUACGGCCCCAGCCCCUAACAAACAGCUGACAGUUAUUUGCUUUUCUUUCUUUCUUCUGACGUGUUUUCUCUUUGAUGACAGAGCCCAAAUCACGCUAAGAUCUGACAUGUAAUAAACAUCCAGUAACUGUUGAUUUAAAUUGAAUUUCUGCUUUAGUAACUUAGAAGAUAUAUAUAGGACUACUCUCUGGCAGAAUGUUUGAAAAUGUCAUUUGGAAGUUGUGUAUGGGCUGGCAAG